UGGGGAAUAUUGCACAAUGGGCGCAAGCCUGAUGCAGCCAUGCCGCGUGUGUGAAGAAGGCCUUCGGGUUGUAAAGCACUUUCAGCGGGGAGGAAGGCGAUAAGGUUAAUAACCUCAUCGAUUGACGUUACCCGCAGAAGAAGCACCGGCUAACUCCGUGCCAGCAGCCGCGGUAAUACGGAGGGUGCAAGCGUUAAUCGGAAUUACUGGGCGUAAAGCGCACGCAGGCGGUCUGUCAAGUCGGAUGUGAAAUCCCCGGGCUCAACCUGGGAACUGCAUUCGAAACUGGCAGGCUAGAGUCUUGUAGAGGGGGGUAGAAUUCCAGGUGUAGCGGUGAAAUGCGUAGAGAUCUGGAGGAAUACCGGUGGCGAAGGCGGCCCCCUGGACAAAGACUGACGCUCAGGUGCGAAAGCGUGGGGAGCAAACAGG
rnacentral:rRNA from 1 species